GACGAACGCUGGCGGCGUGCUUAACACAUGCAAGUCGAACGGUAAGGCCCUUCGGGGUACACGAGUGGCGAACGGGUGAGUAACACGUGGGUGAUCUGCCCUGCACUUCGGGAUAAGCCUGGGAAACUGGGUCUAAUACCGGAUAGGACCACUGCCUGCAUGGGUGGUGGUGGAAAGCUUUUGUGGUGUGGGAUGGGCCCGCGGCCUAUCAGCUUGUUGGUGGGGUGAUGGCCUACCAAGGCGACGACGGGUAGCCGGCCUGAGAGGGUGACCGGCCACACUGGGACUGAGAUACGGCCCAGACUCCUACGGGAGGCAGCAGUGGGGAAUAUUGCACAAUGGGCGCAAGCCUGAUGCAGCGACGCCGCGUGAGGGAUGAAGGCCUUCGGGUUGUAAACCUCUUUCAGCAGGGAAUAAGCGAAAGUGAAGGUACCUGCAGAAGAAGCACCGGCUAACUAUGUGCCAGCAGCCGCCGUAA
rnacentral:rRNA from 1 species